ensembl:lncRNA SUGT1P3 SUGT1 pseudogene 3
GCAGAAGUUUUCCCCCUUGGUCGGUGGCGGAGCUGCUGAGCGCGAUAGUAGCAGCUCCGGCGGCAGCAACAUUGACUACGAGGAAUGGCGGCGGCUGCCGCAGGACCUGCAGCAUCCCAGAGGUGCAGAUUUUAAUUUCAGUGACUGAAUUAAAAGGUGUCAAGAAGCUCAGAAUGGUAUGGAAAAUCGAGGACCAGGGAGAGUACCUUGCCAGCAAUUUUGUAGUUAUGAUUUUCGAUGAAGAGCUGCACAGUAAUAGGGGAAAUUCUGAAUGGUAUUCAAGUCCUCCAGCCAGCAGCAGCAGGAUGUGGUUUUCAAUGUGCACUAUGCAAGUAGCGCUUCAGAUGGAGCUUAUUCUUAUUUUUAAUUUAUUUUUUAUUUUAUUAAUUCAUUUGUUUUUAUAUAUUUUAAGAUUUAUUGACAUAAAAAUUAUAUAUGGUGUACAAUUUGAUGGUUGAUAUGCACAUGCGUUGUGAAAUGAUCAUCAAAAUCAAGAUAAUUAACACAUUAUCACCUCUCCGUAGUUACUAUUUUGUGGAUGCAUGUGUUUUUAUUUUAUUUCUGAAAUAAUU